AACAUAAAGCAACAAAACAAUAAUACACUAUACUUCCUCAUAUUUAAUUAAUUAUUUUAUUUGUAAGAGAAGAGAUAUGGAGAAUAAUGGAAAGGGCAAAGUAGACACAUCAAACAAUGGAAGUGUGUUUCCAAAGAAAGAUAAGAAGUCAGUGAACGCAAUGGCUAUUGAAAGGAUAGGUAAAACUAUGGUGUCCACUUUCAAGAAUGAUAAGAAGAAGAUUAUCCCCUCUGAUGGCACAUCUUAGUCCCCUUACGAUAAUCAACUUGCUUUUAAGAUUGUGCUAAUAUUAUUGAAUAAUGUAUUUAUUUGAUUCUAAUGUAUUUCAAGGGUUUAACUUAUAUACAUCUCCAGUAUUAUAAAGAA
rnacentral:lncRNA from 1 species